GUGUCUAUUUAGCUUCUGGUGAUAGCAUGAAAUUACUUUCUUAUGCAUAUCGAGUUGGACAUAUCAUUUCCAAAAUUGUGUCAGAAACUUGUGAAGCAAUCUGGACGAUGUUAAAAGAUAAAAUUUUUCUAUCAUACAGUAAAGAUAUUUGGAAGAAAAUUGUUAACAAAUUUUGAAAAUAGGUGAAAUUUUCCUAACUGCAUAGGCACUGUGGAUAGAAAACACGUUAUGAUUUAGGCACCUCCACACAGUGGCUCAACAUAUUAUAAUCAUAAUUCAAAUUUGCUGUUUAAAUUUGCUGUUUGAUACAAAAUAUUACUUUACUUUCUUAAACAUCGGAGCUGAAGGACGUCAGAGCGAUGGUGGAGUUUAGAAACAGCAACUUGUAUAAAGCAUUGGAAGAAAAUUUAAUAAGAAUAACACCACCAGAUGUUAUUAGAAAUAAUGGACCUGUUUUACCAUACGUGACGUUGUGGCAGAUGAAGCUUUUCCUUUAAAAACAUACAUGAUGCAACCAUUUUUCCGAAGUCAACAACUCAAUGAAACGAGAAAAAUCUUCAACUACAGACUUAGUCGAGCAAGACAUGUUAUAGAAAAUGCCUUUGGAAUAUUAGCAGAGGUGGAGAAUCUUUAGAAAACUAAUUAUAACAUUUACUUCUACUUGCAAAAAAAUUAUACAAAUAACAUAUUGUUUACACAAUUUUAUAAUGAAAUGUGAACUGCAAAAAUCAGUUGCAGAACGAAUUUAUUCUACAACGCACUCACAUGAUUGUGAUGUUUCUACAGGCCUUAUAGACUCAGGAAAUAUUAGAAACAAUUUUCAUUUGCAAGGUGCAAGUGUAAUAAGAGAUACAUUUGCUGCAUAUUUUAAAGGUCAAAUCAGGCAACAUUACACUCUCACCAGCAGAUAAAUAUCUAGAAGUACUUUCCUCAGAGGCAGAAGGCUGUGAUUCUAUUGAUAAUGUACUUAUUGUUUUGUAAAAAAUAUUAAUUAUUGUGAAAGAA